rnacentral:rRNA from 1 species
AAGUCGUAACAAGGUUUCCGUAGGUGAACCUGCGGAAGGAUCAUUAUUUGAUCUGAAUCGGAGGCAUUUAUGCCACCGUUUUGCUUUGUGAACUGUCUUGUACUGUUGUAUUUUUUUUAAAAAGUUGUUGUUUUCUUCGGAAAAUACAAAUAAAGACAACUUUCAGCAAUGGAUCUCUUGGCUCUUGCAUCGAUGAAGAACGCAGCGAAAUGCGAUACGUAAUGUGAAUUGCAGAACCGUGACUCAUCGAAACUUUGAACGCACAUUGCACCUGGUGGCAUUCCGCCAGGUAUGCUUGUUUGAGGGUCUGUUUAUUCUCUCUUUUUAUUCCUUGUGAAUAAAAUAGGACUUGGCCUCGUGGGUUUUUCUCACUUGGCUUGAAUUCAGACCGUGGUCUCUUUGAAAAUUCAUUUCGAAUUAGACGUAUCCAUAUCAGCCAACUCGUUGGUUCACUUGGGUAGAUCAAACUCGAAAUUUCACAGUGACCCCAGCGGAAAAAACUCUAGUUUUUUUGCCAAGGACCUCAAAUCAAGCAAGGCUACCCGCUGAACUUAA